CCAGCACUUUGGAAGGCUGAGGCGAGUGCAUCACUUGAGGAAGCUACUGCGAGCGGGAAAUGAUAAAAGAGACCUGAUAGUGGAGGCAGCUAAGCACUCACCCAGAUACAGCUAAGAAUGAGGCCUUGAAAAUGAGGGAGGACUUCUUCCUGGGAGCUGACUGUUGGGUCAGGAAAGCGUGGCCUCCACGGAGAUUCACUGGCCCAGUUUGCAUGAGGAGGCCAAUCACUGACCAGGGUUCCCCCAUCUGCAACAGCUGCAUGAAUGCUUAGGCAUGCUUGGGGAGAUAAAUAUGAGACUAAUGACCAUAGAUAAUAAAUUCAGAAUGUUAUGACAGCUAA